AGCUCCUCUGCUCUGCGCUGAGCACACCGAGAGGCUUCAGCUGCUCCUCGCACACCUUGCCCUACAGACUCUUCACCAUCUCUGUCGCCCUUCCAUCAUGAGCACUUUUCCCAGCAAAAAGCUAUCAUUGGCUGUGAUAGCCCCUUGUUUGCUUCUUCUGCUUCAGGACGCAUGCUGGGUGGGAGCCUGGAUGUGAGCUGCAGGGAAACAGCUCCCUUUUGCUGUUUUGAAGAAGUGUAUAAGCCACUUUGAAGUCUCUGGAGAGCUUGGCUGAUCUGGCUCAAAGUUGGCUUUUACCGUCUGUGCCUCCCCCUCUUCUUCUCCUGUGCCCAGGGCACCAGCCUGCCAGCCACCCCCUGCUGCUCAAGCCAUGCGACCCACAGCUCUGUGUCUUUAGCACUCCAGCACUACUUUUCAUCCCCCUUCACCUCACCCUCACACCUCCCUGUUCAGCCUGGGCUCCCUAAGGCUCCUCUUCAUUUUCUGUGGAUGAAUGUUCUCGCUUCAUUCCUCGUUCGUGGAGCUGUGCACAACAGCAUGUGCCUGGCAUGGUUUUGGCAGGGGCUGCACACUGAGUAAAGAGCUGCAGCCAUUGUUCCACAGCUGCUGGAGCACGGCCGUGCCCUGAAAGCAGAAGGCUUGAGGAAAGCAACUCCAAUCAAUAAAUCAACCACCAGGUAUGCCAGUGGCUGGAGAAAAGGGCAGCUGUCGAGCAUAGCCCAAGCAUCUCUUGGACAACUCUUCUGUAAACAAACCUGCCAUUUAACAUUAGGGCACGGGCAUUAAAUAUUCCACGGAGCGCCCUGCCAGGAUGGAUUCCAGAGGUUCAUGCCUCUCCUUGCUCUGUGCUUGCACUAAACUUGGCUUCUGCUUAGCUGACAGCAGUGCUUCUUUCUGGCUUUCAGAAAGAAUGUGCUCCUGUGCAUAUAAAAAAAAAGAUAUUUUUCUCAGUCCCUGUGCAAGCAGCAGGUAUUGCUCGUGAUUUGCAGUUCAUGGGCCUGAACAUGUUUGAUAGCUGCCAAACCUAGAGGAGUACAAAAAGAAAGGUCUCCUGGCAUUGCAGAGCCUGGGAGCAAGGGGAGACGAGCAAGUAGAAAGAGGGAGAAGUUGUUAUCUCUGCCUUGCAUGAUGAAGUGCUUGUAGGGAAAAAAUAAUGUUCAACUCUACACAUCAUCAAAGUAAAUCAUAAAACAACACUAGAGCCCAGCGCUGAAAGAGCUCUUUAGUUAGCUUUGCCUUCUGGAGACCAAAAUCGAGGGGAAAAAAAAUAGAAAGACAGUAAUUUCAUUAAUAACAUCUAAUAGAAUGGGAGAAGUUAUAUCU
ensembl:lncRNA